GCGAAGAACCUUACCUGGUCUUGACAUCCACAGAACUUUCCAGAGAUGGAUUGGUGCCUUCGGGAACUGUGAGACAGGUGCUGCAUGGCUGUCGUCAGCUUGUGUUGUGAAAUGUUGGGUUAAGUCCCGCAACGAGCGCAACCCUUAUCCUUUGUUGCCAGCGGUCCGGCCGGGAACUCAAAGGAGACUGCCAGUGAUAAACUGGAGGAAGGUGGGGAUGACGUCAAGUCAUCAUGGCCCUUACGACCAGGGCUACACACGUGCUACAAUGGCGCAUACAAAGAGAAGCGACCUCGCGAGAGCAAGCGGACCUCAUAAAGUGCGUCGUAGUCCGGAUUGGAGUCUGCAACUCGACUCCAUGAAGUCGGAAUCGCUAGUAAUCGUAGAUCAGAAUGCUACGGUGAAUACGUUCCCGGGCCUUGUACACACCGCCCGUCUCACCAUGGGAGUGGGUUGCAAAA
rnacentral:rRNA from 1 species